UAAUACGGAGGAUGCAAGCGUUGUUCGGAAUCACUGGGCUUAAAGAGCGUGUAGGUGGGGUGUCAGGCGUCGGGUGAAAUCCCUCGGCUCAACCGAGGAACUGCCUGGCGAACCGGCAUUCUUGAGGCAGGUAGAGGUGGCUGGAACGACGGGUGGAGCGGUGAAAUGCGUAGAUAUCCGUUGGAACGCCGGCGGCGAAAGCGAGCCACUGGGCCUGUCCUGACACUGAGACGCGAAAGCGUGGGGAGCAAACAGGAUUAGAUACCCUGGUAGUCCACGCCGUAAACGAUGCGCACUAGGUAUGAAAGGUUUUAACGCCCUUCGUGCCGGAGCAAAAGUGCUAAGUGCGCCGCCUGGGGAGUACGGCCGCAAGGCU
rnacentral:rRNA from 1 species